rnacentral:tRNA from 1 species
UCUGUAGCAGUCCAGUGGUUAGGGCGUGGCACUUUCACUGCCAGGGCCCAGGUUCAAGCCCCGGCGGGGGAA